rnacentral:rRNA from 1 species
UACGGAGGGUGCAAGCGUUGCUCGGAAUUAUUGGGCGUAAAGGGUAGGUAGGUGGUCUUAUUUGUCUGAGGUGAAAGCCUUGAGCUUAACUCAAGAAGUGCCUCAGAAACGGUAAGACUAGAGUCCUGGAGAGGGUCGUGGAAUUCCCGGUGUAGCGGUGAAAUGCGUAGAUAUCAGGAGGAACACCUGCGGUGUAGACGGCUUACUGGACCAUAACUGACGCUGAGGCACGAAAGCGUGGGUAGCAAACAGG